AUGGCAGAGCCCGGCUCUGAGAACUGAAUUCCAUGGACUGUUCCACUCGCAGCCUCAGUCCACAGGGUUCAGUGCUCCAGUCUGGCUGCCGCUA
rnacentral:pre_miRNA from 1 species